CGGCGGGCGCGUCCCCCCGUUGCUGCGGUGACGGGCCGGAAGCGGCCGCCGCUCCGCGCGCCAUUUUCAAAGGAUUUCAGGCGCUGGGACAUCGCCGCCGCCCCGCUUUUAGUGUUACUUCCUGUACAAGCUGUGACACAGAUUUGUUCAUGAUAUUUCUUCUGUAAAACUUUCUCAAUUCAAUUAGUAAAAAAUCUUUGCUCUUUCUAAAACACAAGCUUUUAAACAAAUCUGAUGAACUAUUUUGAGGUAAUUUAAUCUUUUUAACUGAUACAAGUCUUCUUAAGGAGAAGAUGGGCUCAGGAGUUACCAGGUUUUUUCUGUAGUAAUAUAAAAUAUGUUCCUGAGUCUCAAUCUCGACACAGUAACACAAUCACACUUUUACUGAAUUCAACACAAAAUCUUCAACUUUAAUGUAGAAAUACCAAGAACUUCUUACUUUAAUCUUUGGCUGUCAGAGGAGUAUGAAGAGCAUUUCCUACACAUCAGGACAUUGACUUCCACUGAGUGCACUGGUGGAACAAAAGUGCAUCGCUGCCUCCUUCAGCAACCCCAGCACAGUAUGUGAGAGAUUGUUGGCAAUCCCAAUGCCAUUUCUUAGUUAAUAUCCCAACAACUCGAACUUCUCCACCAAAUAUUUUUGGUAGUACCUGGAGCAGAUGCCGUACUUGUAAGACUGGUGAUUCUCAUCUACAGAGCAGCACCCGGCAACCACAGGUGUUCUGUUUUUGCUGAUUGUGACAAAAGCAGCUUUGGAGGUGUGUUUACAAUGAGUGCAAACGCAGAGCGAAGGUUUGUUAAUCUCAGGAAACGCCUGAAUCAGCUGGGCUAUCGGCACCCACUGGGAGUGGACAGUUUACCUCUGGUGGAAAAGCUCUUCAGUGACUUAGUUCAUACAACUGAGAGCUUGCGCAAAGCAAAGUUUUCUUCUGGAAAAACUGAGAAAGAGUGCAGCAAUUAUGAUACUAUUUUGGAACCUUAUAAAACAGAGAAUGCUAGACUUACCAGGGAAAAUAAUGAUCUACAUUUAGAAAUAUUAAAACUGAAAGAGCAGUCUGAUCGUCAUGUUAAAGAUUUGAAAGCUUGCCUAAGGAGGGUUGAACAUGAAACGACUGACUUGAAAUUUUUGAAUAACCAGUAUAUACAUAAAAUUAAAGUGCUGGAAAAAGAGACCAAAGCCAAGACUGAAAAAAUUCAGCAGCUUCAGGAGAAGAAUCUGCAAGCAGUGGUGCAAACACCUGGUGGCAGGAGGAAAAGCAUUCCCUUCCGGCGGCAGCGCAUGCAGAUAGACCAGCUUGUGCCCCCGUCAGGAGUCAGCUCCUACCCAGUGCCUCAGCCACAGGACCCCUACAUCGCAGACCUUCUCCAGGUGGCUGAUAAUCGAAUUCAAGAGCUGCAGUCAGAAGUAACUGAGCUACAGGAAAAGCUGGAGACAUCUGAAAGUGGAAUGAAAAAUUAUAGCAAACAGGUUGAGAUAAGAGACAAAGAAAUUGAGCGCUUAAUGCUGGCAUUGGAUGGUGGGCGUUCCCAUGAGGUUCUCUCUUUGGAAUCGAGGACUAAAAGUAAUGAGAAGCUUAUUUCCCACUUGAAUAUACAGGUUGAUUAUCUUCAGAAAAAAAACAAAGAACUUGAAAAUCGCAUUCAAGAUCUCUUGGACACUAAACAAAAUGUGACUAGUGAGGUAGUGGAUUUAAGCAAUAAAAAUGAAGAACUGUGUCAAGAACUGAAUGAAAUAGAUCACUUGGCACAGCAGUUGGAAAGACACAAAGAAAUAGUGCUUGAGACUGCAGAUAAGGAAAUAGGAGAAGCAAAGAAAGAAAUUGAAAGAAAAGUCAGUGAAAUACAGGAUCUACAAGAAACAAUAUCAAGGCUUAAAUCAGAGUUGUGCUCAUGUCAUAAGGAGAAUGAGAGACUGAAUGAAAAACUCUCUGGGAAAACAGAUGAAAAAGGGAAUCUUGAACUGCUGUUAAACCAGCUUCAACAAGAGAAGCAAAGGCUGACAGAAAAAACAGAGAACUUAGAAAGAAAAGAACGAGAACUUGUCCUAGAAAUUGAAAGAAUGAGAUUAGACUAUGGUAUUGCCCUAGGAGACAAAUCUCCAUCUCGUCUAGAUGCAUUUGUAAAGACCUUAGAAGAUGACAGAGACUACUAUAAGCGAGCAUUAGACUAUCUUCAGAAAAUGGUUAAACUAAAGCCUAGCCCAAGCCGCAGGACUGCAGAGAAGAGUGAAGAGCUUAAAUCAAUCACCAGAGAAAGAGAUGAGCUGCGGUCCGUGUUAGACAGAUUUGAAAAACACAUGAUAGAAAUUCAGUCCAAUGUGAAAUUAUUGACUGCAGAAAGAGAUAGAUUAAAAGUUCUUUAUGAGCAGUCUCAGAGCGAAUUGAACAGGAUGAGAAGAGAAGCAAAACACAGUUUUGUUUCUCAAAGUCAUAUAGAAGAGGAAAGAGACAUUGCACUGACUGACUUCAGAAUACUAAAGGCAGAAAAAGAAAGUCUUGGAGAAAAAUUAAAGAUGCAUCAAGAAGCAGCAUACCAUGAAAAAUCAAAGCUGCAGCAUGAUAUUUCAGAAUUGGAGAAUAAUAUUCAAGGACUUCAGAUUGAAAAGUGUGAGCUGAGGACUACAGUCUCUAUCCUGAAAGAAAGAAUAAACUAUUUGGAAAAUGAAUUAAAUCUGAAGUCAAGUAAACUUGCCCAGACUUCUGAUGAUUCUUCUCAAUUUAAAGCUGAGAUUUGCUCACUUCAGCUCUUAAAUGACCAAAAACAGAAAUCUAUUGAAGAUUUACAGCACAGAUUGUCCCUCAAAAAGGAUGAACUGCUGGCAGCUCAAGAUGAAAUUAUAAAGCUGAAAGAGAUAAUAGAUAGGUUAAACCAGAGGAGCACUUCCCAGGAAGAAGCAGUGAGUGUGCUGAGAAGUACAAUUAGUGUUUUGGACAAAGAAAAGGACAGUCUUCAAGAAACCGUGGAUGAAAAAACAGAAAGAAUUGCAUGCUUAGAUGACAACUUAGCUAACAGGGAAAAAACAAUUGCUCAUUUACGUUUAACUCUCUCUGAGCUGGAGUCCUCAACAGACCAGAUGCAGGACAGGCUGAACAACAGAGACCGUGAGAUAGCCAGCUUACAUCGCCAGCUUGAUACGUCCCAGCUAGAGCUGGCAGAAAUGGGAAGGGUAAAGGACAUGGCUCUGAAAGAAAACAGGCGACUGCAAGAUGACCUGGCUACAAUGGCCAGGGAAAACCAGGCUGUCAGUACCGAGCUUGAAGAUGCAAUACGUGAAAAAGAAGAAAUGAAAACCAGGGUUCAUAGUUAUAUAACUGAAGUCUCCAGAUUUGAGAACUUGAUAGCUUCAAAGGAAAAAGAAAACCAAGAAUUGUUAGAGAAGUUCCGGAUGCUCCAUACACAAGCUGAAGGCUGGGAAAUGAAGGCUCAUCAAGCUGAAGGAGAAAGCAGCUCCAUACGCCUGGAACUCCUUUCAGUAGAUACAGAUCGGAGGCAUCUUCGAGAGAGAGUGGAGUUACUGGAAAAAGAGAUUCAAGGGCACAUUGUUGCACAUCAAGUAUAUGAAUCUCAGCUCUCCUCCAUAACCAAAAAUAUGUCCAGAUUGGAAGAGGAUCUUAAACGUGAAAAUCAGGAUAAGGCUUCUGUGUUAGCAGACCUCGCUUCUGUGAGAGAACUCUGUGUGAAACUUGAGGCUAGCAAAGAACUUUUAGCUCGACAGCUCACGUCCAAAAGCAUGGAUUAUGAAAGGGUUCUAGGAGAAUUAGAAGAUACAAAAUCAGAAGGAGAGUUGCUGAAAAAGCAGCUAUCCAGUGAGAGACUUACAGUUCAGAAUCUUGAAACUUUAUUGGCUACUAGUAGAGACAAAGAAUUUCAGAAUCAAUUAAUGUCCCAAGACAAAGAUACCGAAAUUCAGUUACUGAAAGACAAGCUAACACUGGCUGAGAGCAAACUCAUAUGCCUGUCUUUGAAGGACAUAUAAAAUAUCAUCAAGAUGUCUUGUCUUCUGCAUCUGUUCUCGACAUACUGGAUCAAGAUACCAUUCUAGGAAUUUUACUGAUGAGUAGGGAACAUGGGAAAAAAUAUUCUGCGGUUUUAUUUGGAACAAAUCUCUUGAGUAGUUUACGUCUUCCUGGAGUCAAAGACCGGCUGGUGCCAGACAGGAAGUCUGUGACUGAGCUAGGAGUGGAACUCAUUUUUCAGAACUCCAGUCCAGUGCUUUAGCAAUAAACCAGUACAACUUUCCUUCUCCAGGAGAAAGUUUUGAGCACUCCACCUCACAGUGGCUUUGAAGACUGUAUGGAAUGACAUAGCUGUCUAGAUUCUUGCUUAGACAACCUAUUUUACAUGCAAUAAUUUCUUUUUCUUCCUUUAUAAUGUAAUUGAUGGUAUUUUGCAUCCAAGCAUUGAGUAAGCCAAGAUGAUGAUUUACUGAGAAGUAUAUUAAUCAUGUUUCUGAAGAUUUUCAAGGCUCCUUUUAACUUUGAUUCUUGCACUUGAAACAAUUGGGCACAAAUACCAAGGGUGUAGUUAAGUUUCAGACUCUGGGUUUUGCUGGUCUGGUGUUUGCUUUAAUACAAUUUUUACUUAGAUUUGGUUCAGUUGUGUUCAUGGCUCGCAAGAUAGUUCCAUCUACUUGAUAAAAUUUUUACUGAAGCCAUUGUCUGUUAAGUUUGUAAUUUUUUGUGGAUAUUUACUGCCUUUUUUUUUUACACGAAGUCUAUCUCAAAUUGCAACAGACAACAGUAAAGCAAAUAAAAUAAUUAUUUAAUUGUUUUGUCUGUUUUUAUCAAGCAUGUUUGUGUUUACCUUUGUCUGAAAAAGAGCUUGAUGUAGUCAGGAUGUAGUGAGAGGCUUGCCAGCUUCCUGCUUCAUUCUCACCUUAGGUUCUUCCAGAAACAUUCUGUUGCAUUCAUUUGGUUCUUGCUGCUUCUAAUUUGAUUUAGUCUGUGAAACAACAUGUUCAGUAUCUGGUUUUGUUUUAUUUUUCUCUAACUUCUCUAAGCUCCUAGCUGACAUUGUUCAAAGAAAACUUUGUUGCUUCUCCUGAUUUUUUUUUAGAAGCAGCAAUAAUAGAGAGGUUUCCAUGCUUCGAAGUAAAGUUGCACAGAUGCAGGCUGACACUGAUGUUUUAAAAAGGAAACUGACAACUGAGCGAUUUGAACGGGAGCGAGCCAUCCAGGAGAUGCG